CUUGCUAUAUAUCGCUCACACCCUGCUAUCAAGCAUUCGACUUUGUCUCGUAAUGUUUCUCCUCGAUACCGUUGAGAAGCUAUCCGGAAUAUAGCGUCUACAAAACCUUGGAAGGGGAGACCGGUGGCUUGUUUCAGCGUCGAACCACACGAAUGAUGAUCAAAGAAUCUCCAAUCGGAAGAAAGCGGGUUAUCUCCGGCCUGUUCAAAAGAAUUGUCAUAAAACGCUACAUUGGGAAAGGAUAUAGAGAUGGAACAGAAUUCGACUUUUUUCUGGUAAUUGUUGCAUGACAAUGCAGACAGUGUCGAUUACAAAACCAAUCUGAAAUAUAACCAAAUUCAAUUAGUGUAACAGUCUCGAUUGAACGCUUUCAACAAAAAAUAUAUUACGAUUUCGUGCUCGAGAAGUGCCUUCGCGGGUUUUCAAGUCUGAUAUUUGAUGAGAUAAAAGGCUUGCGGAAGUCUGAAAUGAUACAAAAGAAUACGCUUUAUCAAAGUUCGAAUAUUAGAAGGAUACCAGAAUCGUAAGAUACGUCA